CCCCAAUGAUCUGGCAGUAACAAUAAAUAGCAGCCUAAUAUUGCUAUCAUCUCAACUUCUCAAUCUGUGGGGAAAAUUUCUUCAAUCCUCCUUGGAGAGUGAACAAGAGAAGAAGCAAAUAAAGGAAGAAAAGUUCAAGAAAUUAUUCGUCUCUACUGACCAUCCCCGACAAGAAGCUAUUUUAUAUGAUGAGAAGAUCACCGAAAGCCACAAAGAGAUUUACAAAGAAGUCAAAAAAGCUGCAAAAGUCUGUUGUCUCGAGUGCCGGGACUCGGUAUCAAAAUCUGCCCCCGUGAUCUUUGAAGACCGGUACUUAGAGCCUAAAG